UACCGUGGCUGGUGCCAUGAAGAGCUUUUUCUCAGAACUGCCUGACCCCCUGGUCCCGUAUAACAUGCAGAUCGACUUGGUGGAAGCACACAGUGUCACCGAAUGAAGGAGGCACUGUCCACAGCCCCUUUUACAGACAAGGAGACUCACCCUAAGGUGUCACUUGCCCAAGGUGACACGGUUGACGCGAGAGGCCGGAUUUGUACCAGGGCCAUCUGAGUCAGGAUCUGGACUCCAGACCACCACAGGACCUUCCUCCCUGCUCAGCGUGCCCGUCAUUGGCAUUCUGUCUGCUCUUCCAAGUCUCACUCUCACCAGGGUGCUUGUGCAACUCCCCCAACUCUGA
rnacentral:lncRNA from 10 species